rnacentral:rRNA from 1 species
AUUGAACGCUGGCGGCAUGCUUUACACAUGCAAGUCGAACGGUAACAGGCCGCAAGGUGCUGACAGGUGGCGAACGGGUGAGUAAUGCAUCGGAACGUGCCCAGUCUUGGGGGAUAACUACUCGAAAGAGUAGCUAAUACCGCAUACGAUCUAUGGAUGAAAGCGGGGGACCGUAAGGCCUCGCGCGAUUGGAGCGGCCGAUGUCAGAUUAGGUAGUUGGUGGGGUAAAGGCUCACCAAGCCAACGAUCUGUAGCUGGUCUGAGAGGACGACCAGCCACACUGGGACUGAGACACGGCCCAGACUCCUACGGGAGGCAGCAGUGGGGAAUUUUGGACAAUGGGCGCAAGCCUGAUCCAGCAAUGCCGCGUGCAGGAAGAAGGCCUUCGGGUUGUAAACUGCUUUUGUACGGAACGAAACGGCUCUGGUUAAUACCCGGGGCUAAUGACGGUACCGUAAGAAUAAGCACCGGCUAACUACGUG